ACUAUAACUAGCCCGAACACAACAUAACAAAAAUUAAUCCAAAACUUAAAUCAAAACAUUUACCAACCACAAAAGUAUCAGCGACAGAAAUUAUGACACAGGCGCUAUAGAGAUAGUACCGCAAGGGAAAGAUGAAAGAAUAAUUAAUAGUAUAGAAUAGCAAAGAUCAACCCUUCUACCUUUCGCAUAAUGAAUCAACCAGAACACUCUUUGCAAAGAGAACUUAAGUAAAAAACCCCGAAUCCAGACGAUCUACCUGCUGACAGUCAAAAGGACCUAUUCAUCUAUGUGGCAAAAUAGUGAAACGAUCAACAGGUAGCGGUGAAAAGCCAAUCGAGCCUGGUGAUAGCUGGUUGUCCAGGAAAUGAAUAUAAGUUCAGCUUAAAACUUACCCUAAAAGAAUAACUCAAACUCAAAUGUAAGUUUUAAACAUAGUCAAUAGGGGUACAGCCCUAUUGGCACAGGAAAACCUUAAUUAGAGAGUACCCCAAACACACUUCCAUAGUAGGCUUAAGAGCAGCCACCAAUAAAGAAAGCGUUUAAGCUCAACAACAAAAACUACAAAUACCAACAAACACCAACAACUCCUAAACCACUACUGGACUAAUCUAUUUUAAUAGAAGAAACAAUGUUGAUAUGAGUAACAAGAAUACACUUCUCCACGCACAAGUUUAUAUCAGACCGAAUAAUUCACUGAUAGUUAACAAUCAAACUAAAUUCACCCAUAAAAUAUCCCAUAGUUAUACCCAUUGUUAGCCCAACACAGGAGUGCAUAACGGAAAGAUUAAAAGAAACAAAAGGAACUCGGCAAACAUAAACCCCGCCUGUUUACCAAAAACAUCACCUCUAGAAUUUCAAUUAUUAGAGGCACUGCCUGCCCAGUGACAUGCGUUUAACGGCCGCGGUAUCCUGACCGUGCAAAGGUAGCAUAAUCAUUUGUUCCUUAAUUAGGGACUAGUAUGAAAGGCUUAACGAGGGUUUUACUGUCUCUUGUUUCCAAUCAGUGAAAUUGACCUCCCCGUGAAGAGGCGGGGAUAAACAUAUAAGACGAGAAGACCCUGUGGAGCUUAAAUUGCCAGCCCAAUUACAACCCACAAACCCACCAUGGCCAACAUAUAGUAAACUGGGCUAGAAAUUUUGGUUGGGGCGACCUCGGAGAAAAAAAAAUCCUCCGAAUGAUUCAUGACCAGACCUAACAAGUCAAGUUAAUAUAUAUAUAUAUAUAUAUCAUAAAUUGAUCCAAGAAAUUGAUCAACGGAACAAGUUACCCCAGGGAUAACAGCGCAAUCCUAUUUUAGAGUCCAUAUCGACAAUAGGGUUUACGACCUCGAUGUUGGAUCAGGACAUCCAAAUGGCGCAACAGCUAUUAUUGGUUCGUUUGUUCAACGAUUAAAGUCCUACGUGAUCUGAGUUCAGACCGGAGCAAUCCAGGUCGGUUUCUAUCUAUACACUUACUCCUCCCAGUACGAAAGGACCAGAGAAGUAAGGCCAACUUAAACUAAGAGCCUUAAGAUAAAAUAGAUGAAAUCAUCUAAAUCUAGUUAACUCAACAAAGAUAGCCCUAUACAAGGGUUU
rnacentral:rRNA from 1 species